UGCAGUCGAGCGGAAGAUGGGAGCUUGCUCCCUGAUGUUAGCGGCGGACGGGUGAGUAACACGUGGGUAACCUGCCUGUAAGACUGGGAUAACUCCGGGAAACCGGGGCUAAUACCGGAUGGUUGUUUGAACCGCANGGUUCAGACAUAAAAGGUGGCUUCGGCUACCACUUACAGAUGGACCCGCGGCGCAUUAGCUAGUUGGUGAGGUAACGGCUCACCAAGGCAACGAUGCGUAGCCGACCUGAGAGGGUGAUCGGCCACACUGGGACUGAGACACGGCCCAGACUCCUACGGGAGGCAGCAGUAGGGAAUCUUCCGCAAUGGACGAAAGUCUGACGGAGCAACGCCGCGUGAGUGAUGAAGGUUUUCGGAUCGUAAAGCUCUGUUGUUAGGGAAGAACAAGUGCCGUUCAAAUAGGGCGGCACCUUGACGGUACCUAACCAGAAAGCCACGGCUAACUACGUGCCAGCAGCCGCGGUAAUACGUAGGUGGCAAGCGUUGUCCGGAAUUAUUGGGCGUAAAGGGCUCGCAGGCGGUUUCUUAAGUCUGAUGUGAAAGCCCCCGGCUCAACCGGGGAGGGUCAUUGGAAACUGGGGAACUUGAGUGCAGAAGAGGAGAGUGGAAUUCCACGUGUAGCGGUGAAAUGCGUAGAGAUGUGGAGGAACACCAGUGGCGAAGGCGACUCUCUGGUCUGUAACUGACGCUGAGGAGCGAAAGCGUGGGGAGCGAACAGGAUUAGAUACCCUGGUAGUCCACGCCGUAAACGAUGAGUGCUAAGUGUUAGGGGGUUUCCGCCCCUUAGUGCUGCAGCUAACGCAUUAAGCACUCCGCCUGGGGAGUACGGUCGCAAGACUGAAACUCAAAGGAAUUGACGGGGGCCCGCACAAGCGGUGGAGCAUGUGGUUUAAUUCGAAGCAACGCGAGAACCUUACCAGGUCUUGACAUCCUCUGACAAUCCUAGAGAUAGGACGUCCCCUUCGGGGCAGAGUGACAGUGGUGCAUGGUUGUCGUCAGCUCGUGUCGUGAGAUGUUGGGUUAAGUCCCGCACGAGCGCACCCUUGAUCUAGUGCCAGCAUUCAGUUGGGCACUCUAAGGUGACUGCCGGUGACAACCGAGAAGGGGGGAUGACGUCAAUC
rnacentral:rRNA from 1 species